UACGAAGGGGACUAGCGUUGUUCGGAUUUACUGGGCGUAAAGCGCGCGUAGGCGGGUCGUUAAGUCAGGGGUGAAAUCCCGAGGCUCAACCUCGGAACUGCCUUUGAUACUGGCGACCUGGAGUCCGGGAGAGGUGAGUGGAACUCCUAGUGUAGAGGUGAAAAUUCGUAGAUAUUAGGAAGAACACCAGUGGCGAAGGCGGCUCACUGGCCCGGUACUCGACGCUGAUGCGCGAAAGCGUGGGGAGCAAACAGGGAU
rnacentral:rRNA from 1 species